UACGUAGGGGCAAGCGUUGUCCGGAUUUACUGGGCGUAAAGAGCGUGUAGGCGGCCACGCAGGUCCGUUGUGAGAACUGGAGGCUCAACCUUCAGACGUCGACGGAAACCGUGUGGCUAGAGUCCGGAAGAGGAGAGUGGAAUUCCUGGUGUAGCGGUGAAAUGCGCAGAUAUCAGGAAGAACAGCCAAUGGCGAAGGCAGCUCUCUGGGACGGUACUGGACGCUGAGACGGCGAAAGCGUGGGGAGCGAACAGGAUUAAGAA
rnacentral:rRNA from 1 species